CCUUAUUCUAUUUACAUGUUGCA
rnacentral:piRNA from 1 species